rnacentral:lncRNA from 1 species
CCUCAACCAAAUCCUCUUACGGAUCAACUAUCCAAGUUAUUCAAAUGAAGUGCAACAGCGCAUCCGCGAUGACAUGGCGCAGUUCAACAGCCAAUCCUGCGUGCCUGUCGUGGAGGUUCGGUGCACGCCGGCCUACAGCUCUCCCUGCAUCUGGGUCACCGACCCCGACAUCUUCAAAAUCGAUGUUUACCGUAAGGUAAUGACGCCGGGAAUGCCCACUGAAGCCAUCGGCAACUACUACGCGCUUGGCAAUAAAGACGUCGAAAAAGUUGGCUUCCUGAGA